GAUACGGCUGCCUUAGCAGCCACCCACAGUAUCUUAACACAGGUCU
rfam:Anolis carolinensis chromosome 2, whole genome shotgun sequence.